rnacentral:lncRNA from 1 species
CUCAGGUGCAGUGCAGGUGCAGCGCAGGGGCAGCACAGGUGCGGCUCAGGUGCACCUCAGGUGUAGAUCAGGUGUAGAUCAGGUGCAGCUCAGGUACAGCUCAGGUACAGCAAGGUGCCAAGGGGCACGCUGGGAUGGAGGGGGAGUCGGGACUGACCCCACCCUGCACACUGAGGUGUUUUUCCGGCACUGGGGACUCACCUCGUGCUGCCAGCGGUGCUCAAUGUGUUAAUUACGGAGGGAGGUCAUUAAUGUCCAUCAGCGGGCGGGGAGGGGACGGCACUCGCAGGGAGGAAUGUGUUGGGGGUAGGCUGGAAUGCAGCAGCGCUGACAUGCCCGGAGCAGGAGAGACAUAAAAAGAGUGCACUAGCCUGUAAUUUCCCUGCAAUUUCUCCUCGGGAAGUAAUCAAAGUUUACGACUAGUCGUGGCAAUGCCCGUGUCUCUAUUCCAGAAAGAGGUAGAUAAAAAUAGUUUAGAAUCACACUGGGAAAAAGAGAAAUUUGACAUUCCUUUGAAAACUCUUUGUGGUCAAGUGCUCCCAGCCCACUUUGGCCAAGUUCUUAGUGAGAAGGAUGCCAGCUGUGGCUGACAGUCCUUUUGGUUGCCCUCAUGUAAGCCAGGCCCUGCUCAUCUGCUGAGCAGAGUGAUUGGACUCGUUUAAUCUUUAGAAAUAAAAAUGAAGGGAUUUGUGCUGGUUCAGCAAAGCCCUGGUUCCCCUCCGGGGCUGUGUCAGCCUUGGGACAGGAGGGCUCUUUCCUCCUGGUUUUCUCCAUUGCCCCACUUGCUGCUUGGGGCUGGUUUUGACCUUGCUGAAGCCUCACACGAUGCUGCUGAGCUUUCAGGGAAUGAGCAAGGAUUCCGUGUUCCGGAUACAGGAUAUGAAACACUCAGUGACGUAACAGAGGCUGCAUUUAAAAUUAAGAACCUUUUUCCUCUGUGCCCUUGGCGAAGCUCUCUACAGUCCCACCUCUACAGGAACCACACUUCAAUGGUGCUGUACACCCGUACUUAGUCUUUACAACGUUUUCGGAUCUUUCCAGAUGGAAAAUGCCAUAGAAAUGUAAAACCUUAUUAAUUAAAGGCUGAAAUAGAUGCAGUGUGUGGAGGUCAGUGACUCAUGCAGGAGGAUUCUCAGGCUUCUGCUAUGCAUUGCCUCGGGGCACUUUUUUGAAUGUUCCCUUCUCAGGGGCUAUGACAGUUUAUUACACAAAGGCUGUGCAAACCUGGAGGUGAAUGCAAACUACUCGGGCUAGGAACAGCAACCAGUGAACCCAGUUCAUGCUGAGCCUUUUGGGAUGCCAUAAUUUCCCCUCAUUCCAUCCCCUGCUUUUUUCAGGCAGCACAGGCAUGUGCUGUAGUGUUCGUACAGGGGGAUGCUGCCCCGUGCUGCAGCCCCUCUGUUCCUGGCCAUGCUGGUGUUAAAGAUUGCUUCUCUUUCUGGAGGGCCCAGGAGCAUUUGAUAGUGCAGGAAGAGUGUUUCACUUCGGACCCAGUGAUUAUGAACCAGGACAUGUUUCUAGCAGACAGUUUUCUGUGGAGAGGGUGGCCGUGAUGGGGAGCACAGCCCUGGCUCUGUGGCUGCAGCUCCCACAGAACCAGUGCUGACCCCAGAGGCACUGCAGCAUCAGCUGGGUCUGAUCCCUGCGCUGCCAGCGGUGCCAGGGAGCUCCAGUGCAGCUGCAGGUGUGCUGGUAAGUCCCUUCUCCUCCUGACUGAGGCUUGUUUCACCGAAGUAGGUGCUGUGGUCACAGCUGAGGCUGUGUGCGUGCAAUCCCCCCAGAAGCACCAGCUACCAGCAUUUCCAGAGUCCUGAGCCAUGCAUUGCCCCAGGACACUGGAAUUUGAUUUCUGGCUCUGCAUUCCCAGUUGGAUAUUGCGAGACAAUCUUAGUUCUUUACGUAUCCAAGCCCUGAAAAGGAAUGGUGAUGCCUCCCAGCUGCCUGGAACGCUGAGAUGAGCACUGGGGAGUCCCAGGAGUUGGUGCCAUAGCACACAUGAGAUACUGGUGCCAG